rnacentral:tRNA from 3 species
GCGCCCGUAGCUCAGACUGGAUAGAGCGCCGGACUACGAAUCCGAAGGUCGGGGGUUCAAAUCCCUCCGGGCGCGCCA